rnacentral:lncRNA from 1 species
CAUGCCCUUGUCACUUCGGCCUGAGUCCCAGAAUGAGAAGUUACAUGGAGCAGACCUGAACAAGAUUCACAACCUGGAACAGAAUCACUGCAGCCAGUCCACAAACCUAAAAUUGUCUACAUUCCUGGCUGGGCAUGGUGGCUCAUGCCUGUAAUCCAGCACUUUGGGAGGCCGAGGUGGGCGAGUCACUUGAGUCACGAGUUCGAGACCAGCCUGGCCAACAUGGUGAAACCCUGCCUCUACUAAAAAUACAAAAAAUUAGCUGAGCAUGGUGGUGCAUGCCUGUAAUCCCAGCUAUUUGGGAGGCUGGGUCAGGAGAAUCACUUGAACUGGGAGGUGGAGGUUGCAGUGAGCCAAGAUCACGCCACUGCACUCUAGACGGGGAAACAGAGCGAGACUCCAUCUCAGAAAGAAGAAGGAGAAGGAGAAGGAGAUUAUCUACAUUCCUGAGGAGGAGAAGUUGUACUUAAGCCAUCUUGACCAAACUUCCAGCUUUACAAUCAUUGCCCCCCACCACGCAUAUAUCAUACAUAUAUACCUGCUAGCACGAAUACCUGCAUCAUAUCUAGAAUUAAUGGGAAUAGUCCUAGGGCCAAUCUUUCUUAUAUCAAGCAAGCUGAACAAGGGUCCAAGGGAUAAGGCCACAGCUGCUUCCUCCUGCUUUAGAACAGAGCUAAAUAACCCUGUUCCUAAGUCUUGUGA